rnacentral:rRNA from 1 species
GCGUAUGUCAUCAGCAUGCGUUGAUUACGUCCCUGCCCUUUGUACACACCGCCUGUCGUUACUACCGAUUGAAUGGCUUAGUGAGCCCUUGGGACUGGUGUCGUAGUGCCUUUACCGGCGCCGCGACUGCCGGAAACUUGUGCAAACUUGGUCAUUUAGAGGAAGUACAAGUCAUAACAAGGUUUCUGUAGGUGAACCUGCAGAAGGAUCAUUCUUG